UACGUAGGGGGCUAGCGUUGUCCGGAAUCAUUGGGCGUAAAGCGCGUGUAGGCGGCCCGGUAAGUCCGCUGUGAAAGUCGGGGGCUCAACCCUCGAAAGCCGGUGGAUACUGUCGGGCUAGAGUACGGAAGAGGCGAGUGGAAUUCCUGGUGUAGCGGUGAAAUGCGCAGAUAUCAGGAGGAACACCAAUGGCGAAGGCAGCUCGCUGGGACGGUACUGACGCUGAGACGCGAAAGCGUGGGGAGCAAACGGG
rnacentral:rRNA from 1 species